rnacentral:rRNA from 1 species
UACAGGGGGUGCAAACGUUGCUCGGAAUUAUUGGGCGUAAAGCGCGCGUAGGCGGCUACCUAAGUCGGAUGUGAAAGCCCCUGGCUUAACUGGGGAAGUGCACCCGAAACUGGGUAGCUAGAGUGCAAAAGAGGGUCGCGGAAUUCCCAGUGUAGAGGUGAAAUUCGUAGAUAUUGGGAGGAACAUCCGGUGGCGAAGGCGGCGACCUGGGUUGACACUGACGCUGAGGCGCGAAAGCGUGGGGAGCAAACAGG